GACGAACGCUGGCGGCGUGCUUAACACAUGCAAGUCGAACGGAAAGGCCCUGCUUUUGUGGGGUGCUCGAGUGGCGAACGGGUGAGUAACACGUGAGUAACCUGCCCUUGACUUUGGGAUAACUUCAGGAAACUGGGGCUAAUACCGGAUAGGAGCUCCUGCUGCAUGGUGGGGGUUGGAAAGUUUCGGCGGUUGGGGAUGGACUCGCGGCUUAUCAGCUUGUUGGUGGGGUAGUGGCUUACCAAGGCUUUGACGGGUAGCCGGCCUGGGAGGGUGACCGGCCACGUUGGGCCUGAGCUACGGCCCAGACUCCUACGGGAGGCAGCAGUGGGGAAUAUUGCACAAUGGGCGGAAGCCUGAUGCAGCAACGCCGCGUGCGGGAUGACGGCCUUCGGUUUGUAAACCGCUUUCGCCUGUGACGAAGCGUGAGUGACGGUAAUGGGUAAAGAAGCACCGGCUAACUACGUG
rnacentral:rRNA from 1 species